rnacentral:rRNA from 1 species
AUUGACCGCUGGCGGCAGGCCUAACACAUGCAAGUCGAACGAGUGGCGGACGGGUGAGUAAUGUCUGGGAAACUGCCUGAUGGAGGGGGAUAACUACUGGAAACGGUAGCUAAUACCGCAUACCAUCAGAUGUGCCCAGAUGGGAUUAGCUUGUUGGUGGUGUAACGGCUCACCAAGGCGACGAUCCCUAGCUGGUCUGAGAGGAUGACCAGCCAAACUGGAACUGAGACACGGUCCAGACUCCGCAGGGAGGCAGCAGGGGGGAAUAUUGCACAAUGGGCGCAAGGCUGAUGCAGCCAUGCCGCGUGUAUGAAGAAGGCCUGCGGGUUGUAAAGUACUUUCAGCGGGGAGGCGUUACCCGCAGAAGAAGCACCGGCUAACGCCGUGCCAGCAGCCGCGGUAAUGC